AUUUAGAAGCUGGAGCGAAGGAGGGGGACUAAAAGUGCAAAUCCUCCAUCUAAAGGGACAAUGCACAUGGCCUAAGCCGCAUGCUGACUUUCCCCUUUCCAAUGUUGUUUUAUUGUGCUAUUUAAGAUAAAAAAAACUGUUUUAAAAUUAUUUUUACUUUUGCCACUUUUUUUUAAAAAAAAAAAAAAUGUAAUGCUCUCUAACUCUCCCCAUUUCCCCUUUUCUUUUCAGCCGAAAGGCUCAUCUCAAGCCCUCAACCACCCUUCAAAAUCUGAUUGUGACCAACAAAGCAAGACCCUUCGACAGCGAAAACACGAUGCAACUCCGGUGUGUCAGAUGUGGGUGGUCGAGGUGGCAUGCGCGUGGAGGCAGCAAACAGUGGUAGCAUGGGGCGACUGAAUCUUGGUGACAAAGGGAGGAGCGGCUGGUUUUUUCUUUUUUGUUUGCUGAAAAUUAGUUAAGGUUGUGGGCUUUGGGCUUUUAGGGUUUUAAUUUUUUUGGGCUGUAAUUGGGUUGAAUGGACUAUUAAUUAUUUUUAUCUUGGUUUAUGGUUUAUGGGCCCCGGGCAAAAUUUGGGUUCUACAUUAAUUAAUUUCUACCUUUUUAUGUAAAUAAUAUACAAAUCCAAUAAAAAAAAGAACAACAUCAUUUUACCAA